CCAGGUGCCUGGUGGACACUGUAUUCCAAAGUAAUAAAAAAUGGAAUUGAGAUUCAAGGCACAAGAACACCAACUUCACAUGAGCUCUUACUGGAUGUCUACUUUGCAAUACCAUUUGAUAUGCAUGAAGAUUUAGAUUACGGAGGCUGCAACAGGGGGAUGUUACUUCAAGAAACAAAACAUUCACAUAAAGAUGCAUACGAUGGUCUGUCAUCCCUGGGAAGUGGUGCCAACAAACAAGAAAACAAGUUAAGG